rnacentral:lncRNA from 1 species
AGGGUUAAGAUUCAGAAGAAUUUGCAGCUGUUCCAACAAAUCAAGCUCAAAAUACAUAACCCACAUUCGCAUUAUUCAACAAGCAGUAUCCUCUAACAAGGAAAACAUAUCAACAUCUCUGCUAGUUGUUGUGGAUAAUAUUAGAUUAUUGCCCCUAUUAUUACCACAUUCUUCAACUUUAUUAGUCAUAGGACACACCAAGCCCAAAAUAUUGAACCUACAUUUGAUAUUACUGAACCAGCA